rnacentral:sRNA from 1 species
GAUUAACCAAGUGACGCAAUUCUCCUCCCGGUGUCCUUGGCUUUGGACUGGCAACACCCUCCUCCCGGUUGCUGGUCAGUUUCAAGCAGCCCGGCCUUCCUCCUCCCAGGCCGGGCUGUCUGC